GGCGAUGUUUCAUUCAAAUUUCUGCCCUAUCAACUUUCGACGGUAGGGUAGUGGCCUACCGUGGUGGUAACGGGUGACGGAGGAUUAGGGUUCGAUUCCGGAGAGGGAGCCUGAGAAACGGCUACCACAUCCAAGGAAGGCAGCAGGCGCGCAAAUUACCCAAAUCCCAACUCGGGGAGGUAGUGACAAGAAAUAACGAUGCUCCGGCCAUCGGUCGGGUAAUCGGAAUGAGAACAAUUUAAAUCCCUUAUCGAGGAUCAAUUGGAGGGCAAGUCUGGUGCCAGCAGCCGCGGUAAUUCCAGCUCCAAUAGCGUAUAUUUAAGUUGCUGCGGUUAAAAAGCUCGUAGUCGGAUUUCGGGUGGUGCCUACCGGUCCGCCUUUGGUGUGUACUGGUAGGCGCUACCUUUCUGCCGAGGACGGGUUCCUGGGCUUAACUGUCUGGGGCCCGGAGUCGGCGAUGUCACUUUGAGUAAAUUAGGGUGUUUAAAGCAGGCUUAUGCUCUGAAUACACUAGCAUGGGAUGACACGAUAGGACUUCGGUCUAUCUUGUCGGUCUGUAGAUCGGAGUAAUGAUUAAGAGGGACAGUCGGGGGCAUUCGUAUUUCGUAGUCAGAGGUGAAAUUCUUGGAUUUACGGAAGACGAACUUCUGCGAAAGCAUUUGCCAAGGAUGUUUUCAUUGAUCAAGAACGAAAGUCGGGGGCUCGAAGACAAUUAGAUACCGUCGUAGUCUCGACCAUAAACGAUGCCGACUA
rnacentral:rRNA from 1 species